GCAGCACUGGUGUAAUGGUAGCGCGCUAGUUUGCCAUACUGGUGGUAGGGGUUCAAUUCCCCUGUGCUGCU
rnacentral:tRNA from 1 species